UACGAAGGGGGCUAGCGCUGUUCGGAUUUACUGGGCGUAAAGCGCACGUAGGCGGAUCUUUAAGUCAGAGGUGAAAUCCCAAGGCUCAACCUUGGAACUGCCUUUGAUACUGGGGAUCUUGAGUCCGGGAGAGGUGAGUGGAACUGCGAGUGUAGAGGUGAAAUUCGUAGAUAUUCGCAAGAACACCAGUGGCGAAGGCGGCUCACUGGCCCGGUACUGAUGCUGAGGUGCGAAAGCGUGGGGAGCAAACAGG
rnacentral:rRNA from 1 species